UAGAAAGUCUUUUAAA
rnacentral:tRNA from 1 species